UAUUACUCAGUAGGACAACCGGAAGCGCCUGAGUAAGGAUUUCGCCGCUCAGUGAUACGGUUCACUAGUCGACGUUGUCAACACGUAAUGGCGGCCAUUAUUUGACGUUGGAUUUGGCAUUCCAUGCUGAAAAGUUGCAUUUAUGACAUUCUUGGAUGCUUAAUCUUUAUGCUGAAUAACACAAAAGGAUGGAGAAAGAUGUUCACUAUGAAUCAAAAAUUCAAAACAGAGGACUUUUAUAUAUCAACAAAAACAAUUGCAGUACAUGCACAUAUACAUGUAUAAAAGUACACUGUCAGCAUGGUCAGAAGAAGAAUUUUACUGGAGGAUUAAAAUUUUGAUACCUGGAAUCAGCAAUGAAUAUGAAAAUGAAAAUGAUAUAUAUUCAUGUACAGAAUGGUAACCGAGGUGGUUCAAUUGUUUUAUUAGCAGACAUUUUUGUUGAACUUAUGCAGGAUUGAAUAAAUGAAACUUAAGCUGACUAUGGGCUCAAUGUGUAGUAAAAAGAGGAUUUUGAAAUAUAUGCAAGAUUCAUCAACAUUACAAUGUGCACAAGUGAAAUAUCACCUUAUUUAGUAAAAAAAAAAAUCAGAUUAUUGACUCAGUUGUUUUCAUGAAAAAAAAGUUUCAAAGCAAUA